rnacentral:rRNA from 1 species
GACGAACGCUGGCGGCGUGCCUAACACAUGCAAGUAGAACGCUGAAGCCUGGUGCUUGCACCGUGCGGAUGAGUCGCGAACGGGUGAGUAACGUGUGGAUAAUGUGCCUGGCAGUGGGGGAAAAUUAGUGGAAACGGUAGCUAACACCGUAUAAGAGCAGACUUCGCAUGACAUUUGGUAAAAAGGCGCAAUUGCGGCAGGUGCAGAUGGACGCGCGGCUUAUUAGUUAGUUGGUGGGGUAACGGCGCACCAAGGCAACGACGGGUAGCAGGCCUGAGAGGGGGACCGGCCACAUUGGGACUGAGAUACGGCCCAGACUGCUACGGGAGGCAGCAGGGGGGAAUAUUGCACAAUGGGCGGAAGCCGGAGGCAGCAACGCCGCGUGAGGGAUGACGGCCUUCGGGUUGUAAACCGCUUUCGCCUGUGACGAAGCGUGAGUGACGGUAAUGGGUAAAGAAGCACCGGCUAACUACGUG